CGGAACGGGUGAGUAACGCGUGAGGAACCUGCCUCAAAGAGGGGGACAACAGUUGGAAACGACUGCUAAUACCGCAUAAGCCCACAGGUCGGCAUCGACCAGAGGGAAAAGGAGCAAUCCGCUUUGAGAUGGCCUCGCGUCCGAUUAGCUAGUUGGUGAGGUAACGGCCCACCAAGGCAACGAUCGGUAGCCGGACUGAGAGGUUGAACGGCCACAUUGGGACUGAGACACGGCCCAG
rnacentral:rRNA from 1 species